GUAGAUAUAGUUUAAAUAAAACAUUAGAUUGUGAAUCUAAUAAUAGAAGCUUACACCUCCUUAUUUACC
rnacentral:tRNA from 1 species